rnacentral:rRNA from 1 species
CACGUAGGGCGCAAGCGUUGUCCGGAAUUAUUGGGCGUAAAGAGCUCGUAGGCGGUCUGUUGCGUCCGCUGUGAAAACUCGGGGCUUAACCCCGAGCCUGCAGUGGAUACGGGCAGACUAGAGGUAGGUAGGGGAGAAUGGAAUUCCCGGUGUAGCGGUGAAAUGCGCAGAUAUCGGGAGGAACACCGGUGGCGAAAGCGGCGCACUGGACCACAACUGACGCUGAGGCGCGAAAGCUAGGGGAGCAAACAGG